GGAUGUUCAAAAACGAAAACUUGAUUUGGAUUCAGAUUCAGAUUCAGAUUCGUAUUCUGAUUCGAUUCGGAUUUGGAAACGGAGAAGAAGUCGAAACCUAAUACUAAGACCGGGGUCAGUAUACUUUAUAUUUGUUUGUUAUAUAUUUUGGUGUUAUAGAAUCAAUCAAUAUGUUGCAUGAUGCAGGUGACGCUCUCGGGCUUGUUGAACUUCAUUGAUGGUUUGUGGUCAAGCUGCGGUGAUGAGAGAAUAAUUGUCUUCACCACCAACCGCAAGGAGAAGCUUGACCCUGCAUUGCUACGUCCUGGCCGAAUGGACCUCCACAUCCACUUGUCGUAUUGCACGACAAGUGGGUUCAGGAUCUUAGCCUCUAACUACCUCGGAAUUCGUGACGACAACCGCCCUCGCCUCUGUGGUGAAGUGGAAGGGUUGAUAAAGAGCACAGAGGGGACACCUGCAGAGGUUGCGGAGGAGCUCAUGAAGAGUGAUGAUGCUGAUGUUGCUCUUCAGGGACUUGUCAAUUUCAUCAUCAAGAAGAAGAUUGAGACUGAGAGGUACAUGAACAAAUUGAAAACCAAGAAGAAACGACGUCGUAGAAGACGGAUCAGAAACUUGUUCAACUUCCAUCUUUCGUGAUUUUGAUUUUCCCACAUAUGACUUUGUGUGUAUGCGGUUGGGACUUUGCUUAUUUGUUUAACAAAAAUUUGUUAUGAAUGUUGGGUUUUGUAAAUUUGUAUCUGAAUGGUCCAAUGAAUUUUGGAACUGUGGAAAUGGGCUUUGUCAAAUUCAGAGGAAAGCAUCAGGGUGAGAGAAAAGUUCUUUGAGCAACUACAGUCUCCUCUCUCUCUGUCUC
rnacentral:lncRNA from 1 species